GAUGAACGCUGGCGGCGUGCCUAAUACAUGCAAGUCGUGCGGCAGCGGAUUCUGCACUAUCAACUUGAAGCCUGGACGCGGGGAUUUCCAAAGGAAAUCAGCCGCAUCACUCCGAAAGGAGUGAAGGUCUGGGAUUAGUUCGAAGGGAUAGUGCAGAAUGCCGGCGAGCGGCGGACGGGUGAGUAACACGUAGGAAUGUACCCCAAAGUGAGGGAUAAGCANCGGAAACGGUGUCUAAUACCGCAUAUGGUCUUCGGAUUAAAGGAUUUAUCCGCUUUGGGCACAGCCUGCGCCCGAUUAGGUUGUUGGUGAGGUAAUGGCUCACCAAGCCCACGAUCGGUAGCUGGUCUGAGAGGAUGA
rnacentral:rRNA from 1 species